rnacentral:misc_RNA from 1 species
GAUGAAGAACGCAGCGAAAUGCGAUAAGUAGUGUGAAUUGCAGAAUUCAGUGAAUCAUCGAAUCUUUGAACGCACAUUGCGCCCCUUGGUAUCCUGAGGGGCAUGCCUGUUCGAGCGUCAUUUCACCACUCAAGCCUGGCUUGGUGUUGGGCGACGUCCUCUUUGGGGACGCGCCUCGAAACGCUCGGCGGCGUGGCACCGGCUUUAAGCGUAGCAGAAUCUUUCGCUUUGGAAGUCGGGGCCCCGUCUGCCGGAAGACCUGCUCGCAAGGUUGACCUCGGAUCAGGCAGGGAUACCCGCUGAACUUAAGCAUAUCAAUAAGCGGAGGA